rnacentral:rRNA from 1 species
CNCGNNAAACCUUACCUACCCUUGACAUGUACGGAACUUGCCAGAGAUGGCUUGGUGCUCGAAAGAGAGCCGUAACACAGGUGCUGCAUGGCUGUCGUCAGCUCGUGUCGUGAGAUGUUGGGUUAAGUCCCGCAACGAGCGCAACCCUUGUCAUUAGUUGCUACAUUUAGUUGGGCACUCUAAUGAGACUGCCGGUGACAAACCGGAGGAAGGUGGGGAUGACGUCAAGUCCUCAUGGCCCUUAUGGGUAGGGCUACACACGUCAUACAAUGGCUGGUACAAAGGGUUGCCAACCCGCGAGGGGGAGCUAAUCCCAUAAAGCCAGUCGUAGUCCGGAUCGUAGUCUGCAACUCGACUGCGUGAAGUCGGAAUCGCUAGUAAUCGUGGAUCAGAAUGUCACGGUGAAUACGUUCCCGGGUCUUGUACACACCGCCCGUCACACCAUGGGAGCGGGUCUCGCCAGAAGUAGUUAGCCUAACCGCAAGGGGG